rnacentral:rRNA from 1 species
AACGUAGGACGCAAGCGUUAUCCGGAGUUACUGGGCGUAAAGCGCGGGCAGGCGGUCUUGCCAGUCUGAUGUGAAAUCUCCUCGCUCAACGGGGAGCAGCCAUUGGAAACUACAAGACUGGAGUCUGACAGAGGUAGGCGGAAUUCCGGGUGGAGUGGUGAAAUGCGUAGAGAUCCGGAGGAACACCAGAGGCGAAGGCGGCCUGACUGGGUCAGUACGUGACGCUGAGCCGG